rnacentral:rRNA from 1 species
UGCCAGCAGCCGCGGUAAUACGAAGGGUGCAAGCGUUACUCGGAAUUACUGGGCGUAAAGCGUGCGUAGGUGGUUGUUUAAGUCUGAUGUGAAAGCCCUGGGCUCAACCUGGGAAUGGCAUUGGAUACUGGGCAGCUAGAGUGCGGUAGAGGGUAGUGGAAUUCCCGGUGUAGCAGUGAAAUGCGUAGAGAUCGGGAGGAACAUCUGUGGCGAAGGCGACUGCCUGGACCAGCACUGACACUGAGGCACGAAAGCGUGGGGAGCAAACAGGAUUAGAUACCCUGGUAGUCCACGCCCUAAACGAUGCGAACUGGAUGUUGGGCUCAACUUGGAGCUCAGUAUCGAAGCUAACGCGUUAAGUUCGCCGCCUGGGGAGUACGGUCGCAAGACUGAAACUCAAAGGAAUUGACGGGGGCCCGCACAAG